AGCUUUUCGAAUCCGUGCUGAGACUUCGUCCGAUACCAGCUCAUUAGGGCUGAUCAGACUUCCAAGAUAAGUGAUGUU
rnacentral:pre_miRNA from 1 species